rnacentral:rRNA from 1 species
UACGUUCCCGGGCCUUGUACACACCGCCCGUCACACCAUGGGAGUCGGUAGGACCCGACGGCCCCGUGCCAACCGCGAAGGGGGGCGAUUACCACGGCAGGGUUCGUGACUGGGGUG